CAGGACAUCUGGUAUAACAACUGAAGAGAACCGAUUGCUGAAUUUUUAUCGUGAAUUCAAAUGAGUCCAUUAAAAUAAAAAUUACAUUUAAAAGAAAAAAGGAGAAACAGAAGAGACUUGGAUACUCCAGAAUGGAUGCUCAGGCCCUUGGACUAUGAAGCUGCUGGUGUAGAUUCACGGAAGGAGUCUCUCAGCUGGGCUGGGUUGGCGAUGCUGGCCCAGGGGGGUUUACAGACCUAAAUUUCAGUUGUGUUCUCUUGUACCUCUGAAUGACUUGGUGUCCCGUAGCUCAGGGAGCAUAUAUACAGAUUUAAGAUUCUGGACUGUUGUGGGG
rnacentral:lncRNA from 1 species